GGACCCGCACAAGCAGCGGAGCAUGUGGUUUAAUUCGAAGCAACGCGAAAAACCUUACCAAGACUUGACAUCGUAUGACCGCUAUAGAAAUAUGGUUUUCCCUUCGGGGACAUAUAGACAGGUGGUGCAUGGUUGUCGUCAGCUCGUGUCGUGAGAUGUUGGGUUAAGUCCCGCAACGAGCGCAACCCUUGUGAAUAGUUGCCAAUAUUAAGUUAGGAACUCUAUUCAGACUGCCGUGGAUAACACGGAGGAAGGUGGGGAUGACGUCAAAUCAUCAUGCCCCUUACGUCUUGGGCUACACACGUGCUACAAUGGCUAUUACAAAGAGCAGCGAAUCGGCAACGAGGAGCGAAUCUCAUAAAGAUAGUCUCAGUUCGGACUGUGGGCUGCAACCCGCCCACACGAAGUCGGAGUUGCUAGUAAUCCCGAAUCAGCAUGUCGGGGUGAAUGCGUUCCCGGGUCUU
rnacentral:rRNA from 1 species